rnacentral:rRNA from 1 species
GGUCAAGCUACAAAGGGCUCACGGCGGAUACCUUGGCACACAGAGGCGAUGAAGGACGUGGUUACCUGCGAUAAGUCUCGGGGAGCUGGAAACACGCUUUGAUCCGGGAAUUUCCGAAUGGGGCAACCCCUUGUACGGCCAGCUGAAUACAUAGGCUGGCGCGAGCCAACCCAGCGAACUAAACAUCU